UCUAAUACCGGAUAAUACUCCUGCCUGCAUGGGUGGGGGUUAAAAGCUCCGGCGGUGAAGGAUGAGCCCGCAGCCUAUCAGCUUGUUGGUGAGGUAGUGGCUCACCAAGGCGACGACGGG
rnacentral:rRNA from 1 species